rnacentral:rRNA from 1 species
AUGACAGACCACCUUCAAGUUCAGCAACAGAAGUUGGAGCUACCGCUGGGGUUUAGGUUCCACCCGACGGAUGAGGAGAUCAUCAACUCCUAUGUGAUCCCCAAGGUGCUCGAUGAAGCCUUCGUAACCGCGGCGAUUGAAGAUGUGAACCUGAACAAGUACGAGCCAUGGGAGCUACCAGAGAAGGCAAAGAUGGGGGAGAAGGAGUGGUACUUUUACUCCCGAAAGGAUCGCAAGUACCCCACUGGGAUACGAACGAACCGGGCGACGGGUGUCGGCUAUUGGAAGGCCACCGGAAAGGACAAGGAAAUUUUCCACCCGCCACUCACGCUCAUCGGCAUGAAGAAGACGCUCAUCUUCUACAAGGGCAGGGCGCCUACGGGGGAGAAGACCAACUGGAUCAUGCAUGAGUAUAGGCUUGAGAGCAACAAGGAGCUGACAUCCAACCCGUCCACCGCAACCCGCACCGUCACCGCCACCAAGGCGGCUUCCAAGGAACAGUGGGUGGUUUGUAGGAUCUUCCAUAAGAGCACCGGACUGAAGAAGGUGGUGAUGCCGUCAUAUGUCAUGCCAAUGUCCACUGGAGCAGAACAUCAGCAGGGGCUCACUGACUUAGAUACAUUUCCUCCUCUCAUGGACUAUGACAUGUCGUCAUCGCUAGCAAAUCCAACGUUGCUUCCUGCAGCUUCUUCAUACCAGUUGCACGACAUCGGGGCUGGCUCAUCGAUGAUUGGCAGCAUGGCGCUUCCUAUGAUGAAUGACCACUACAUCGGGAACCACCGCCAGCAGAUGAUAUCAGACCCAACACCACCAUUGCCAUUCUACCAACAACAUCAGCAAAUGAUGAUGUAUAUGGGUGAAGAUCAGAGUUUCAUGGUCGGGGCUAAGCCUGGGUGUGGUCCAUCGUCAAUGGUGUCACAGGAGGAUGCCGUGACCGGGCUGAGCAACAACUACCAGGGCAACGCCGCCGCAACAGCAGGUGGCAAGACCUCGUCAGUGAACAUGAGUAUGGAUGACAUGUGA